rnacentral:miRNA from 1 species
UCAGCGACAACUAAUAUGGAU